rnacentral:rRNA from 1 species
UACGGAGGGUGCGAGCGUUGUUCGGAAUCACUGGGCGUAAAGCGCGUGUAGGCGGCCCACUAAGUCUGAUGUGAAAGCCCGGGGCUCACCCCCGGAAGUGCAUUGGAAACUGGUGGACUCGAGUCCCGGAGAGGAGAGUGGAAUUCCUGGUGUAGCGGUGAAAUGCGCAGAUAUCAGGAGGAACACCGGUGGCGAAGGCGGAUCUCUGGGCCUUACCUGACGCUGAGGCGCGAAAGCUAGGGGAGCAAACAGG